rnacentral:lncRNA from 1 species
CUAAAGGUGAAAAAGCCUAGUUCUGCUUCAUAAUGUGGUCACUCAUUGAAAAUACCUUUGCCUUCGUGCUAACUGAUUUUGAGUGUUCAAGUGGCAGGAUGCUGAUGGUGGUUUUUUNUUUUUUUUUUUUUUUUUUUUUUUUUUUUUUUUUUUCAGGUACAAUAUCACAGGAUUUAAUUUACUGACAGAAACCUCCUGAUGACUUUUGUUCUUCCAGUUUGUAAGCUGGUGCUGUACAAAACUGUGAUGUUUUGCCCGGGAGCUAGGACAACCACAGACCUCCUGCCCCUUUCUGCUGUGGCAGAAACUUGAUUGGAUAAUACCUUUGUUUUCUCUGAUGGUAAAUACAACAAGACUGCACUAUAAGGAGAUAAAUACUGUGGGAGCAACAUUUUGGGGAUAUUGCAACUAUGACAAAACCCUGGCCUCUUCUGUUAUCCAGCAUCAACAAUGCAAUAGUAGUUGUGAGCACUUUAUUGAUUUUGGCACUUUUUUAUUACUCUAGAUUCCUUUUCUUUUCCCCUAGGCAAUUUCUAGUAAACUAGAUCCCACAAAAGUGUUACACUGUAAAUCAGAAAUUGUAAGGAUGAAUUCUGAAUUGGAUUGGCUUGUAGCUUCCUUUCACCAUAGAUCUAACAAGUCCCUUUGCAUCCUUGGUUAGGAUGUCU